rfam:Fibrella sp. ES10-3-2-2, complete genome.
CGGCAGUGGAGUCCAGUAACCAUAUAAAAACGGGGCGAGUCCGAAAAGCCAGACGAGUAGGAACCCA